UAGGGAAUCUUCGGCAAUGGGGGGAACCCUGACCGAGCAACGCCGCGUGAGUGAAGAAGGUUUUCGGAUCGUAAAGCCCUGUUGUUAAGGAAGAACGAGUGUGAGAAUGGAAAGUUCAUGCUGUGACGGUACUUAACCAGAAAGGGACGGCUAACUACGUGCCAGCAGCCGCGGUAAUACGUAGGUCCCGAGCGUUGUCCGGAUUUAUUGGGCGUAAAGCGAGCGCAGGCGGUUAGAAAAGUCUGAAGUGAAAGGCAGUGGCUCAACCAUUGUAGGCUUUGGAAACUGUUUAACUUGAGUGCAGAAGGGGGGAGUGGAAUUCCAUGUGUGGCGGUGAAAUGCGUGGAUAUAUGGAGGAACACCAGUGGCGAAGGCGACUCUCUGGUCUGUAACUGACGCUGAGGCUCGAAAGCGUGGGUAGCAAACAGG
rnacentral:rRNA from 1 species